CCUACGGGAGGCAGCAGUGAGGAAUAUUGGUCAAUGGGCGCGAGCCUGAACCAGCCAAGUCGCGUGAGGGAGGACGGCCCUACGGGUUGUAAACCUCUUUUGUCGGGGAGCAACGGGCGUCACGUGUGGCGCCACUGAGAGUCCCCGGAGAAAAAGCACCGGUUAAUUCGGUGCCAGCAGCCGCGGUAAUACGGAGGAUGCGAGCGUUAUCCGGAUUUAUUGGGUUUAAAGGGUGCGUAGGCGGAUCGUUAAGUCAGGGGUAAAAUUGAGGGGCUCAACCCCUGCCCGCCGUUGAAACUGGCGCGCUUGAGUGGGAGAGAAGUAUGCGGAAUGCGUGGUGUAGCGGUGAAAUGCAUAGAUAUCACGCAGAACCCCGAUUGCGAAGGCAGCAUGCCGGCUUCCGACUGACGCUGAAGCACGAAAGCGUGGGGAUCGAACAGGAUUAGAUACCCGAGUAGUC
rnacentral:rRNA from 1 species